rnacentral:rRNA from 1 species
UACGUAGGGUGCGAGCGUUUGUCCGGAAUUACUGGGCGUAAAGAGCUCGUAGGUGGUUUGUCGCGUUGUUCGUGAAAACUCACAGCUUAACUGUGGGCGUGCGGGCGAUACGGGCAGACUGGAGUACUGCAGGGGAGACUGGAAUUCCUGGUGUAGCGGUGGAAUGCGCAGAGUAUCAGGAGGAACACCGGUGGCGAAGGCGGAUCUCUGGGCCAUUACUGACGCUGGAGGAGCGAAAGCGUGGGGAGCGAACAGG